rnacentral:rRNA from 1 species
UACGAAGGGUGCAAACGUUGCUCGGAAUUAUUGGGCGUAAAGCGCGCGCAGGCGGUCCUUUAAGUCUGAUGUGAAAGCCCACGGCUCAACCGUGGAGGGUCAUUGGAAACUGGGGGACUUGAGUACAGAAGAGAAGAGUGGAAUUCCACGUGUAGCGGUGAAAUGCGCAGAUAUCAGGAGGAACACCGGUGGCGAAGGCGGGUCUCUGGGCCGAGUG